rnacentral:rRNA from 1 species
GAUGAACGCUGGCGGCGUGCUUAACACAUGCAAGUCGAACGGAAAGGCCCAAGCUUGCUUGGGUACUCGAGUGGCGAACGGGUGAGUAACACGUGGGUGAUCUGCCCUGCACUUCGGGAUAAGCCUGGGAAACUGGGUCUAAUACCGGAUAGGACGAUGGUUUGGAUGCCAUUGUGGAAAGUUUUUUCGGUGUGGGAUGAGCUCGCGGCCUAUCAGCUUGUUGGUGGGGUAAUGGCCUACCAAGGCGUCGACGGGUAGCCGGCCUGAGAGGGUGUACGGCCACAUUGGGCCUGGGGUACGGCCCAGACUCCUACGGGGGGCAGCAGUGGGGAAUAUUGCACAAUGGGCGCAAGCCUGAUGCAGCGACGCCGCGUGGGGGAUGACGGCCUUCGGGUUGUAAACUCCUUUCGCUAGGGACGAAGCGUUUUUGUGACGGUACCUGGAGAAGAAGCACCGGCUAACUACGUG